AGAUUGAACGCUGGCGGCAGGCCUAACACAUGCAAGUCGAGCGGCAGCACGGGUACUUGUACCUGGUGGCGAGCGGCGGACGGGUGAGUAAUGCCUAGGAAUCUGCCUGGUAGUGGGGGAUAACGCUCGGAAACGGACGCUAAUACCGCAUACGUCCUACGGGAGAAAGCAGGGGACCUUCGGGCCUUGCGCUAUCAGAUGAGCCUAGGUCGGAUUAGCUAGUUGGUGAGGUAAUGGCUCACCAAGGCGACGAUCCGUAACUGGUCUGAGAGGAUGAUCAGUCACACUGGAACUGAGACACGGUCCAGACUCCUACGGGAGGCAGCAGUGGGGAAUAUUGGACAAUGGGACGAAAGCCUGAUCCAGCCAUGCCGCGUGUGUGAAGAAGGUCUUACGGAUUAGUAAAGCUAACGUUUAAGGUUGGGAGGAAGGGCAGUUAACCUAAUACGUAUCUGUUUUGACGUUACGACAGAAUAAGCACCGCUAACUCUGUG
rnacentral:rRNA from 1 species